rnacentral:tRNA from 1 species
UGCGGAGUGGAGCAGUUGGUAGCUCGUUGGGCUCAUAACCCAAAGGUCACAAGUUCGAGUCUUGUCUCCGCAA